UUUACUAUUUAUUCGAGGCUACUAUGUGC
rnacentral:piRNA from 1 species